CCCCUAUUCUUCUGAAGUCUGGAC
rnacentral:siRNA from 1 species